rnacentral:lncRNA from 1 species
AAAAGAAAAGCUAUUCGAAUGAGAUUUAGUAUGAGUUAAUGGUUAUAGUUAGUAAGACAAUGGAAUCUAUUGUCAGAUAUUGUAAGGAAUGUAUUUGAAGGUCACGUACCUGGGGAAGUAAACUUUGAUGUAUGUAAAUUAAGUUCGAAUGUAUUAUUAUUUAGUAUUAUUCAGCUUAAAGAAAUGGUAUCGUGGAGAACCGAGU